rnacentral:lncRNA from 1 species
GACGAUGAAACUUAAGGGUAAAAGUUAGCCAAACAUAUCAAAAAAAAAUAAAAAUAAGGCAACAAAAGAAAGGCUGAGAAACAUUAGACUCCUAUAUAUGGGACUCCAAGCAUUGCAGUGAUCCUAAUUGCUGUUGGCCUAAUAUUUUAGGCCAAAACGAGUUCCAAAGUAGAAACUUCAGCUCUCCGGUUGUACAUGAAACAUAAGAAAAAUAAAGAGAUAAAGAUUAGUGUCUUAAUUCCAGACGAAUUAAAUAAAUAAUGAGUAUGAUGCUUGUAAGGAUCAUAAGCAAGUCAGAUGUAAUACACUCAUAUACAGAACUAGUCGUGGCAUGCCAGAAAAUGAUGUCCUCAAUUACAAAACUAAAAUGUGUCUAUAUCCUCUCAUACAUGCUUGGAAACAAUAUCAUGCUUAAGUGCAAUUUCAUGGGGGGCACGUGAUACUAUCUCUACAUAUUAUGAAAUAGAAAAGUUCUACUAGCCCCAUCACUAAAAAUUUAGCCAUCAAACCGAGUCAAGCAUGCAAAAUGUUGUUAAUGAGAUAAUGGUCAUUCAUGGUAUUAAAUCUUAUAAGUUUAAUUCCUAGUCUGCUCUACUUCAAAAUGUGAGUGACCAUUCAAACCAAUACUUAAAAGUAAAGUUUGUUUACUUCAACUUAAUGCUCAUAAGAUUAAAAGAUAAAAGUCUAUAAAUUUCAACAACCAAUUAUACAGAAAGAAGGUCACAUCUAGCAACACAAAAUUGUUACCAAUUCUUUUCAUUUGUUAGUCCAAAGAGGAAUACAAACUAUUCUGGACAAAGCACAUUUUGGAUAAUGAUUGGAACCUUAGAUGGUGAACUUAACCUAUACAUUAUGAAUGUAAUCAAGUAUAUAUGGGUCCUAUUACAACACUUAACAGAUACGGGGGACAUAGUAAGCUUAAACAACAUUUUUCAAAGGAACAGAGAAAGAAACAGUAAAGGGGAUGCCGAUUAUUCAAAUAAGGAUUGUCAAUAAUCAGAUGGCUAAAACUUGCAUAAUAAAAUGAUCACAUUAUUGACCCAAAUGAAACAGCCAUGUCAAACCACAUACCAUUACUAAAAAUGACCAUUGUAUUUAAGGAAGAAGAAACAAUCUUAGAAUCAGAAUCUUGUCACUUUCCGAACGAAAAUAGCCAUUGGCAUCGAAUCAUGUCAUGUAUAGAAAUGAGAAAAUCAACUAGAAAUCACAGAAAAAAAUAAACAAAAGAAUCGCACACUACUCUUAGUAAAUAUUGAAGCAAACUUCUAAUGAGCUCAUAAAUAUUUCGCAACUACUUAAUAUGAAACUUAACGGAAACACCAUUUUAUACUUCUUUAAUAAGUUAUGUCAAGACGAACUAAAUGUCUUAGGGUUAUAAAAAAAAGGGAGAGGUAAUCUCGUUAAAACGAUAAUCAAACAAGUAGAAGGAUAUAUCAAAACAAACACACUCAACUUAGGCUCGACCGGACAGAUUUAAGAUGUACAACAAUAGAGGACAUACUAACAUUUUUUGUUAAAAAGAGACCAGCUGCAGAACAGUCAAUCUAUAGACCCAUUUCUUGAAGCAGGUUUAAACAAAGAAAUCUCAACACAGAUCAUGAAGAUGCAAACGAUU